UACGGAGGGUGCGAGCGUUAAUCGGAAUUACUGGGCGUAAAGCGUACGCAGGCGGUUUGUUAAGCGAGAUGUGAAAGCCCCGGGCUCAACCUGGGAACUGCAUUUCGAACUGGCAAACUAGAGUGUGAUAGAGGGUGGUAGAAUUUCAGGUGUAGCGGUGAAAUGCGUAGAGAUCUGAAGGAAUACCGAUGGCGAAGGCAGCCACCUGGGUCAACACUGACGCUCAUGUACGAAAGCGUGGGGAGCAAACGGG
rnacentral:rRNA from 2 species